AACAACUCACCUGCCGAAUGAAUUAGCCCUGAAAAUGGAUGGCGCUGAAGCGAGUAGCCGACACUGUGCCGUCUGGACCAGAUGAGUAGGAAGAACGUAGCGGUUGUAUAGAAGCGUGUGCGCAAGCAUGCGUGGAACGGCCGCUAGUGCAGAUCUUGGUGGUAGUAGCAAAUAUUCAAAUGAAAUCCUUGAAGGGCGAAGCGGGGAAGGGUUCCACGCGAACAUUGAUUGGGCGUGGGUGAGUCGUUCCUGAGCCGUCUGGUAAUUCGGCGAAAGGGAAGCAGGUUGAUAUUCCUGCACACGGAUGUGGAAAUGCGGUGACGCACACUGGGGCGGUGAAGCCGUCGGUUGCACUGGGCAGAGAUUUCUUUUCUGUUUGACGGAGCCUGGCUGUACUCUAUGGAAUCCGCUUGUCGGGAGAAAUAGGUAUGUCACGGCAAAGCGCCGGGUUUUUUCUGGCGUCCAGUUUGCGACUGGCGGACCUUGAAAAACUGUCUGCUGGCAAAAUACACCACGCCGUAACGUACCCAUAACCGCAUCAGGUCCCCAAGGUGAACAGCCUNUGCUCAAUAUGAACAUGCAGGUGAGGGAAGUCGGCAAAUUAGACCCGUAACUUUGGGAAAAGGGUUGGCUCUAGUGCUGUGUAGGAGUGGUUGCUGGUUGUAGCCGGGUUCCUGGCAACGCCUACAGCAUGCAGCAAACUAGAACUGCAACGGACAAAGGGAAUCCGNCUGUUUAAUUAAAACAAAGCA
rnacentral:rRNA from 1 species